AUCUGAGGUGGAGAGUGGCGCACGGGUGAGUAACACGUGGUCGACCUACCCCGGAGAGGGGGAUAACUAUUGGAAACGAUAGCUAAUACCCCAUACGUUUGCGGUAAUUAGAAAACCGUAAAGAAAAUUCCGGCGCUCUGGGAUGGGACUGCGGUCCAUCAGCUAGUUGGUGCGGUAAAAGCGCACCAAGGCGAAGACGGAUAGGGGACCUGAGAGGGUGACCCCCCACACUGGCACUGAGACACGGGCCAG
rnacentral:rRNA from 1 species